rnacentral:rRNA from 1 species
CCUACGGGAGGCAGCAGUGGGGAAUAUUGGGCAAUGGAGGAAACUCUGACCCAGCAACGCCGCGUGCAUGAUGAAGGUCUUCGGAUUGUAAAGUUCUUUUCUAAGGGAAGAAGAAAGUGACGGUACCUUAGGAAUAAGCUUCGGCUAACUACGUGCCAGCAGCCGCGGUAAUACGUAGGAGGCGAGCGUUAUCCGGAAUGACUGGGCGUAAAGGGUGCGUAGGUGGUUUGGCAAGUUAGUAGCGUAACUCCAAGGCUCAACCUUGGAACUACUACUAAAACUGUUAGACUAGAGUGCAGGAGAGGCAAGCGGAAUUCCUAGUGUAGCGGUGAAAUGCGUAGAUAUUAGGAAGAACACCAGUGGCGAAGGCAGGUUGCUGGACUGAAACUGACGCUGAGGCACGAAAGCGUGGGGAGCAAACAGGAUUAGAUACCCGUGUAGUC